rnacentral:lncRNA from 1 species
GUAACCCUCAUUGAGAAGGCAAUGAUUGUUGUUGAUCCGAAGUAUGAAGAGCUAUGUGAUCAUAAAAGGAUCUCGUUUCAUCUGGAAAUUUCAGAUGACCUGCAAGGAACAGAAGAAUGAGAGAUGCCUAUGUCAUUUGACUUUAUGGAUGGAGAACCGGUGCCGAUGGAGGAGGAACGGCUGCCGCUGUUUGCAAGGAUCAACAAGGGAGAGAGAGCCAAGUCUGUGUCAUUUGACUUUAUGGAUGGGGAACCGGUGCCGAUGGAGGAGGAACGGCUGCCGCUGUUUGCAAGGAUCAACAAGGGAGAGAGAGCCAAGUCUGUGUCAUUUGACUUUAUGGAUGGGGAACCGGUGCCGAUGGAGGAGGAACGGCUGCCGCUGUUUGCAAGGAUCAACAAGGGAGAGAGAGCCAAGUCUGUGUCAUUUGACUUUAUGGAUGGGGAACCGGUGCCGAUGGAUGGGGAACCGGUGCCGAUGGAGGAGGAACGGUUGCAGCUGUUUGCAAGGAUCAACAGGGGAGAGAAAGCAGGUCUGUAGAUUCUAUAAUUGCAUUGAUGUGGGUGACAAUCCGAGGAGAGAGCGAUGUAUGUAGAUUCCAUAACUGCACUGAUGUGUGACGAUGAUGUACUUGAUCGAGUUGCUUAUUAAUAUCAGUGUACUUGGAAGCUAUUAUUAAUAUGCUCGGACAUUGCUUACGCUCGUGCUAGGAGAACCUUGAAGAGGAAGGCGGCUGAUUUUAACGCUAUUCUUAAGAUGCUCAUAGUGAUAUAUUAUGAAAAGUAUAGUUUGAUUUUUAUUUAUUUUUUGUUAUAGAAAUAAACUAUACUGUAAGUGCUUUAAUUAAGCGUUUAUCCAAACAAGACCUUGGUCCAACCAUGUUCAUCCAUUGCAAACCAAGGUUGAGGGGUUCCCAUCAUGAAACUGAACAUGGUUGUGUUAAUUGUAUAGAGCAGAGGUAAACAUGCCUAGUGAAUUUGUGGUUGGAAUUUGAUGACAGAGUAUCUGAUUCAGUAUCUAUCUUUGUUUGAUUAGCUAUGUGUCAUGUUGCUUGGUUCUCAUUUUGUUUAUGCAACUUCAACAUCACUUUCCUAGAGUUCAUUAAAGGUGAAAAGUGAGCCACGUCACUAGAUUCAACAAGUACAACACAGUCCUCGUACUAUAAGCCUCUUAAGAAUAGCGUUCAAAUCAGCAGCCUUCCUCUUCAAGGUUCUCCUAGCACGAGCGUAAGCAACGUCCGAGCAUAUUAAUAAUAGCUUCCAAGUACACUGUUAUUAAUAAGCAACUUGAUCAAGUACAUCAUCGUCACACAACAGUGCAGUUAUGGAAUCUACAUACAUCGCUCUCUCCUCGGAUUGUCACCCCCUCGGAUUGUCACCCACAUCAGUGAAAUUAUAGAAUCUACAUAUCUGUUCUCUCUCCCCUAUUGAUCCUUGCAAACAGCGGCAACCGUUCCUCCUCCAUCGGCACCGGUUCCCCAUCCAUCGGCACCGGUUCCCCAUCCAUAAAGUCAAAUGCCUAUAUUCUUUUGUUCCUUGCAGGUCAUCUGGAAUCUCCAGAUGAAGCGGGAUCAUUUUAUCAUCACUAGAUUCGAAACUCAGUUCAAAUCACAGGGGAUAAAUACUCAGAUAUGUAGAAUGGGAGAAAGUGUCACCAUUGUUCCUAUAAGUGCAAUAAGUUAACAAAAAUCCUAAGUUUCACUUCUCUUUUACCUUAAAAAAAAUGGAAUAAUAAUGAAGAGAGUGAAAUGGCUACUUUUAUAGUGGAACUUGCUCUGUAAAUAUACAGCAAAACAAAUUUUCACUCUCUUCAUUAUUAUUCAAAUUUUCACUUGCUGGUAUAUUUACAGAGCAAGUUCUACUAUAAAAGGAGCCAUUUCACUCUCUUCAUCAUUAUUCCAUUUUUUUCAAGGUAAAAGAGAGGUGAAACUUGGGAUUUUUGUUAAGUAGUAAUGUGGUUUUGCAUUUGUUUUCAUUUUUGUGUUGAGUGUUUUAUCAUCAAUGUGAUUCUGUAUUUUUUUUGUUAAUCACAAGUUAAACUGAAGAACAUGAAUCACAAGUAAGUAGUCUCACUCUCAUUAAUGUGAUUCUGAUAAAUAUUGAGCAUUAGCUAUUAUAAAAUUAUAGUGUUUUGGCUCCCUUUAUGCGUUGCUGUGUUUUGGCUCCCUUUAUGUUCCUAGUAUGUUCCUAAAAUUGUAGUGUUUGAAAUUAGAGUAGUGUUUGAGAUUAAUUAUUUAUCUAAUGUAUGUAUUUCAUAAUAGCUAAUGUAUUUAUUAUGUAUUUAGGUUUGAUUGGAGUAACCCUCAUUGAGAAGGCAAUGAUUGUUGUUGAUCCGAAGUAUGAAGAGCUAUGUGAUCAUAAAAGGAUCUCGUUUCAUCUGGAAAUUUCAGAUGACCUGCAAGGAACAGAAGAAUGAGAGAUGCCUAUGUCAUUUGACUUUAUGGAUGGAGAACCGGUGCCGAUGGAGGAGGAACGGCUGCCGCUGUUUGCAAGGAUCAACAAGGGAGAGAGAGCCAAGUCUGUGUCAUUUGACUUUAUGGAUGGGGAACCGGUGCCGAUGGAGGAGGAACGGCUGCCGCUGUUUGCAAGGAUCAACAAGGGAGAGAGAGCCAAGUUUGUAGAUUCAACAACUGCAAUGAUGGGUGACGAUGAUAUACUCGAUCGAGCCGAGGAAAUGAGUCCAAACAACUAUACUUUGG